rnacentral:tRNA from 1 species
GCAUCUGUAGCUCAGUUUGGCAGAGCAGCUGACUCUUAAUCAGCGGGUCUAGGGUUCGAGUCCCUACAGGUGUACCA